UGGGGGAUAUUGGACAAUGGGCGAAAGCCUGAUCCAGCGACGCCGCGUGUCGGAAGGAGUCCUUCUGGAUGUAAACGAUUUUUGGUGGAGACGAAUAAGCAGCUCAGGGAAUGGGGCUGUGAUGACGGUAUCCAUGGAAUAAGCCCCGGCUAACUACGUGCCAGCAGCCGCGGUAAGACGUAGGGGGCAAGCGUUACCCGGAAUUACUGGGCGUAAAGGGAGCGUAGGCGGGAGGUCAAGUCCGGUGUGAAAGACCCUGGCUCAACCAGGGAUGAGGGCUGGAAACUGACAAUCUUGAGUACAGCAGAGGAAGAGGGAAUUACCGGUGUAGGGGUGAAAUCCGUAGAGACCGGUAAGAAGGCCAGUGGCGAAGGCGCUUUUCUGGGCUGUUACUGACGCUGAGGCUCGAAAGCCAGGGGGGCAAACCG
rnacentral:rRNA from 1 species